CAGAGUUAGGGUCUUCCAGGCCCCACCUCCUACCCCGUGUCUAACAUCUCCGUUGCUUUGACGGGCCUGCUGGGGAGACCCACCGGUGGCUCCGGCUGCCGAGCGCCUGUCAGAGACCCAUCAAACUCUGGUUAAUUAUGCUGUCUGAGUAGCGAUACAAUAGCGA
rnacentral:rRNA from 1 species